rnacentral:rRNA from 1 species
ACACUCCUACGGGAGGCAGCAGUGGGGAAUAUUGCACAAUGGGCGCAAGCCUGAUCCAGCCAUGCCGCGUGAGUGAUGAAGGCCCUAGGGUUGUAAAGCUCUUUCACCGGUGAAGAUAAUGACGGUAACCGGAGAAGAAGCCCCGGCUAACUUCGUGCCAGCAGCCGCGGUAAUACGAAGGGGGCUAGCGUUGUUCGGAUUUACUGGGCGUAAAGCGCACGUAGGCGGACUAUUAAGUCAGGGGUGAAAUCCCGGGGCUCAACCCCGGAACUGCCUUUGAUACUGGUAGUCUUGAGUUCGAGAGAGGUGAGUGGAAUUCCGAGUGUAGAGGUGAAAUUCGUAGAUAUUCGGAGGAACACCAGUGGCGAAGGCGGCUCACUGGCUCGAUACUGACGCUGAGGUGCGAAAGCGUGGGGAGCAAACAGGAUUAGAAACCCCAGUAGUCCCAUGA